UGGCUUUCUCAUUACUAGUUUUUCGGUCAGUUGAAAUCAAUGUGGUCAAGUGAUAGGUGCGUUUUACAAGUGAAAAGAAAGCAGAGAAGAUACAAUGGAAGAUGAUUUGUAUGAUUUUUUGACGGCUCAAAACCUGCCCCUGUCUUGCUACAAGGACUUGAAAGACUGUGGCUUUACGUCGAGCAGUGUAAAAUAAAGUACAGAGCACGACCUUGAAGUCGUUUUUCCAAAAAGGGAGCAGUGCGGUUUAACGGAAGAGUUUCGAGCGAAGUUGGAGCAGUGGAGACACGCAA